rnacentral:rRNA from 1 species
GACGAACGCUGGCGGCGUGCCUAAUACAUGCAGGUUGAGCGCUGAAGGUUGGUACUUGUACCAACUGGAUGAGCAGCGAACGGGUGAGUAACGCGUGGGGAAUCUGCCUUUGAGCGGGGGACAACAUUUGGAAACGAAUGCUAAUACCGCAUAAAAACUUUAAACACAAGUUUUAAGUUUGAAAGAUGCAAUUGCAUCACUCAAAGAUGAUCCCGCGUUGUAUUAGCUAGUUGGUGAGGUAAAGGCUCACCAAGGCGAUGAUACAUAGCCGACCUGAGAGGGUGAUCGGCCACAUUGGGACUGAGACACGGCCCAAACUCCUACGGGAGGCAGCAGUAGGGAAUCUUCGGCAAUGGACGAAAGUCUGACCGAGCAAACGCCGCGUGAGUGAAAGAAAGGUUUUUCG